GGAGGCCGGUUGGUUCAUCUGAGCAACAGGAGGGUGUGUGCCCGCCGGCACGUGGUCUCCAAAAACGCAGUGUCCUGGCCACAGUGAAUCUGAGAAGCAACCAUCAUUUAUGAAAAGGCAUGGCUCUCUGGAUGCACUUAUCAGACAUCCACAUGCGUAAGUCCAGAAACCGUCAGUGUGAGCACAAAGGAAGACGAAGGACCACGACGCCAGCAUCAACACGCCACGGCGAGCUGACAGAAAGGACGAGGGACAGAGGAACAAGGAACUCCCCCGUGACCCCGAGACCUGGGGGCCUCAGGCCUGCUGGUCCUUCCGCAUCAGCACACAGCUCCCCACUGCGUGGUCCUGUUCUUGAACUGAUGGCCUAACAUCAACAAAGCCUCUGAGCCCUGAGACCCUCCUCUGGCUGGGAGCCACGGUAUCCAUGGCAACCAUGGCUGACACAGAGGACGAUGCGGACAUCGUGGGAAACAAAGCCACAUCUGAGUGAAACGCGCAGAGGAGCUGUUGGCUACAAUGAAGUUUCCUCAGACAUAUACAUGUGUGACUGUCACUGUAACCCAUCACUCGCAGGGCUCCAUGUGGCCCAGUCACUGCUUGAUGUAGGACUGAAGGAAAUGGCAGCUGGAAUCCAGAAGCCACAAUGAUUCACAGAGAGCUUUGCCUAGAAGGCUACCCAUAAAUCCAGUGUAGGCUUCUCUUCCCCAUCUCAAAGUUUCCCAGGCACAGAAGUUGCUGAAAUCUCUCCACCUCUCCCCUCAUUGAUAUCCCCCACCAACCAGGGGGAACCCCAAACCUUUCUGCAGCCAAAAAUGACUCGGCCAGGCACGGU
ensembl:lncRNA novel transcript